GAGUUUGAUCCUGGCUCAGGAUCAACGCUGGCGGCGUGCAUGAGACAUGCAAGUCGAACGGACGCUUACGGGCUUGCCUGUAAGCGUUAGUGGCGGACGGCUGAGUAACGCGUAGGUGACCUGCCCUGAAGUGGGGAAUAACUGCCCGAAAGGGUGGCUAAUACCGCAUGUGGUGAUGCGUUCGAUCGCAUCAGUAAAGCCGCAAGGCGUUUCGGGAGGGGCCUGCGUCCGAUUAGCUCGUUGGUGGGGUAACGGCUCAUCAAGGCGACGAUGCGUAGGGGGUGUGAGAGCAUGACCCCCACCACUGGGAUUGAGAUACUGCCCAGACACCUACGGGUGGCUGCAGUCGAGAAUUUUCGGCAAUGGGCGCAAGCCUAACCGAGCGACGCCGCGCUCGGGAUGAAGGCCUUCGGGUUGUAAACCCCAGUUUUAUAGGAGGAAAUGCGGUGGGGUUCUCCCCAUCGUUUGACCUAUUCAAUGA
rnacentral:rRNA from 1 species